rnacentral:rRNA from 1 species
AUGGAAGCAGAACUCACAGCACUAGAUACAGCUACGGUCAAAGCAGAUUGGCUUCGCCGACUCUUGAAUGACUUGCCGGUUGUUGAGAAACCUGUACCGGGUAUCCUUAUGAACUGUGACAAUCAAACUGUGAUCACGAAAGUGAACAGCUCAAAGGAUAACAUGAAGUCAUCAAGACACGUUCAGAGAAGGUUAAAGUCUGUCAGGAAAAUGAGAAACUCCGGAGUUAUUGCAUUGGAUUAUAUCCAAACGUCUAAAAAUCUGGCAGAUCCUUUCACUAAGGGUCUAUCACGUAAUGUGAUAGAUAAUGCAUCGAGGGAGAUGGGUAUGAGACCCACA